AGCAGUCCACGUAAGAAUCAUGCAGAAUGAAAAAUAAGUGGCACAGCUAUAAAUUUAAAAUCUCUUGAAAAAUGGCUAAUUUUGAAGAAAAUCAUGUUUUGUACUUGAUCCAAUAAAAAAUUUCACCUUGAAUCCUUCUUAAGAUUUUUAAUCGGCUGAAAGGAUAUUCGGUUUCAAAAAUAUUUUCCCGUUGUUUUCUUUACAAAGAGCACUAAUGAAAAUGGUCAUAAAAAUUAAUUAUCGGACACUCUGUCAUUAAAGAUUAAUAGAUACAUAAAGUCAAUAGUAUGGACAGUAAAAGAAAUAACAAACAUCAUUUGGAAACAUGUUUACAAAUUAGUUACAGAUUUUUAAAAACUACGUACGAUCUAGCAGAUUGACGAUUUUAUUAUCUCCCUUUGCUAACUCUUUAGUGUUAAAGAUACGAUUGUUUGGGGAAACAUGACAACAUGUCAUACGAGUUGGCGGUUUGAAGACAGACGAUGCCGUUUUGUAACACUUCUUUGUGGACAAAUACUCCAUGUGAAGAGGUUUCAAAGACAGUUUAUGUGAAUGACUAUAAGAAAUCGGUAGCUGGAUAUUUAUGCUCCUUAAACAAAUCACAUUGCGGGAAAUCCAUGACGCAAGGCCCACCUGCGCCUGUGUCUAUUUUCACAAUCACACGUUGGAAUUUUUCGGUUGUUUCAUAUCAUCAGAGUUCUUUGGAGUGGAUGAGGAAUACUACAUGUGUUUUCCCAGAUCACUCGGUCAGUUGUAUUGGAUAUGCGAACCGGAUGUGGGCACAUAUCAUUAACAUUCGGGAUGAGCAACAUGCUUGUGGAAAAAUGCUAUGGCCAGUAUGGGUGGCGGUGCAGAUAAGUUUAUAUGAAUAAAUCAUAAAUGUGUAUUGGUUACUUAAGCUAAUUUCACCAUACUUUAUUUUAAUAAUUCUUUUGCUUUGGACCAUAAAUAAUCUGUCGACUAAUGAAUAAAUAGUAUCAGUGUGUGUGUGUGUGUGUGUGUGGGUGGGGGGUGGGGGGUGGGGGUGAAAACUAUGUAAAAAUAUUAUACUUUAAAAUGUAAGCCAUUUUAGAAACACUUCUGUUUUCCCUCUGCCAACCAGUGGUUGAAAGUAACUUUUUCUUCCACAGGCUAAAAUCAAAACACAUCAGCUAAAAUGAAACUAAUGAAUCAUUGCUCUUUUUUCAUGUUAUUUCAAUGAAUGAUUCAACAACCCCACCCCCACCCCAUGAUUACUGAACCUGGUGGGUCAACAGUUACACAUUGUUUAGACAAGUCAAUGACAUAUGCCAUAUGGUGAUAUGUUGGGGUAUCUUGAUCCUCACAACUCUAAUCUAACACAUGUACCGCAGGUUCAAAUUUCAUAACACAUCAGGGUUGUUACUAGGGUUUUUUAAAGAUAAGCUCCAGACUCAUGGUUUAUGAGCAGCUUCAAUCCCAUGAAAAUUCACAAGUACCAUGAAUUUUCAUGAGUCCUUUUUGUAUCUGAUUUUUUUUUAGAAAAGUACAAAUGUUGAUUCCACAUAGUUGUUAAUCAUGAUGUCAUCACAGUGGGAAUUCAAAAUUAAUGAUUUUUGAUUUUCUUAGCCAUAGAAUAAUAAUUAAAAUAGGAAACACUAUUUGUGACACCUGAUUCCAUAUCAAAAUCCUUUUAAUUUUCUUAUAACCAGUAUAGAUGCAUUUUUAAAAAUCCAAUCACAACCCGCAUAGUUGAAAAUACAUAUUAAAAGGGCUCUUCAUUAGUUAAUUUUUAUCACAUCAAAUAUGAAGACCUCAAGAAUCUAUUUUAGCUAAUUUUGCAUAAGAUGAACAAUUUCAAACAUAAUUUUUAAUCAAAUGAAUAUUUCUUAUCAACAAAAAUGUAUCGGAUGUAAUGAUUUAGCACGGGUCUUUUAACCAAAAGUCUGUAUAGCUUACCUGAUCACCAUUUUUCUGUAAUCAUAAUGUCUGUUAUACUUGUUGUCUACAUAAUUUGGUAACUUGUGAACUUGAUUGAAAAUUGAAUUAUUGACACCUCUGCAGGUAUCGAGAUCAUUGCCAUCACCACAAAUUGAUAGUUGGUAGUUCAGCUUCAUUGAAUGAAAUAUAUUUACUUAAAUUUCAGUAUACAAGGAAUCUAUUCACUGAAAUUCCAAGAAGAUUCCAUGACUUGCUUGCCAUACAACAAACAACAGAUUAUGGACAUGAUUCCUAGAAUUAGAACUUGAAUGGGUCAGACUUGAAUACAUGCAAAGUCAUGUAGCAAUAUUAAAGGUGUUGUAUUUCAGGAAAAGGGGAAGCGUAUUUGUUGGAAGAUGGAUAAAGAAAAAUUGGAGCAUACACUAGACUUCUUUAAAUCCUGCCUUUUUAUCAGGUAAAUCAUUGAGUACAAAAGAACUGCACCUUCACAGUAGACAACUUAUAACCUUUCGACAAGAAAUUGGGACUGCCUGCCAUUCAACCAUUGUACAUAUAUGAAUUUACCAGUCCUGUUGUGAAGAAACUUAUUUCAUCCUCUUUCAAGGACCAUGUUAUUUGGGAUUUUAACUACUUGUCCUGCAUCACAAGCUUAAAAAGACUUCACAAUCUGUCUGCAGAUGGAACUGCAUGGUUUGAAAUCCUCAUAGGAAUUCUGAGAAGCAUGGAGGCCUAUAAACCAGAUAAUGACAAGAUUUCAUAGUUCGAGGAGUACCAGGAACAUUUACUUGCAGCAAAAUUUUACAUAAAGAGAGACUCACUCAAGCAUGAAUGUAGAAUUACAAAGAUGCAGAAUAUAUAUAUAUAUAUAUAUAUAUAUAUAUAUAUAUAUAUAUAUAUAUAGAGAGAGAGAGAGAGAGAGAGAGAGAGAGAGAAUUAUAUGGUGAUAUAAUUAAACUCAUUGUCUUCAAUGUGUAUGGCAUAUCAGUAGAGAAUCAUGAUUCAUAUGGUGAUAUUUUUCAAUUAUAUACUCGUUUCAGUGCAAUGGCAUUGUACAAAUAAAUAUUUUAAGUGUUGCUAGGGAAAGUGGUUGCUAUGGUGAUAUGUGUAAACAUAUUGUCUUCCAUGGGUCCGACAUGUCAGUAAAUAAUUACAUGUUGAUAUAUUUGUAUUAUAUUCUCAUUUGAAGGCAAUUGGAAUUGUACAGUUUGAAAUGUUUGCUUGUUGCUAGGGAAAAUUGGUUGCUAUGGUGAUAUAGUUAUACCUGAUGUCUUCAUUGGAUUCAACAUAUCAGCAGAAAAUCAUAUAUUGGUAUAUUUGCAUUAGGUUCUCAUUCCAGUGCAAUUUAAUCAUACAACUUUAAAUUUUAUGUGCGUUGCUAAGGAAAAUCAGUUGCUAUGGUGAUAUGGUUUAAGUCUGAUUUCUCCAAUUGGUCUGAAAUGUCAAUAAACUAAAGUGAACUCUGAUGAUUUGUAUUUAUUUUCAGUUAAUAGAAUCAUUUUAAUGCAUAUAUUGCAGAUAUUCUUUUUUUAUUGUGUCGGAAAUGAGCCUGAAAGAGUUGCCUAGCAACCGUUACUAUGUGCAUUUCCGACUCUUUUGAUUUUUAUUUUGAGUACACUUAGUAUUGAUUGUUUAGAAAAUAUGUAUCAAAAUUUGGCACUUUUCGGAUAACUAAAGUAAUAUGUAUUUAAAAUACCUUAAAAUUGUCGAAUUUACAGAAAAUUGAUAAACAUUAAAACAAUGCCUAUUCCAAAGUCCUCUACAGAUACCAUAUAAUAGUAUUUCAUUAGUAUUGUACAUUUUUAUAUUGAAGUAACCUUUACUUUGCCUAAAUAAAUUAUCAUUAUGUUUGAAAAAUUAUUAUUUUCAUUUUUAUACAAAUUUUAAGAAGUAUGUAUUUCUGCACUUUACAAAACCCAAUACAGUGGUUGCUAUGGAAACACAAAUGCUUUAAUUUCCAUAGCAACCAUUGAUGCACAAUGUUUUUACUCUGCAUGUCUUCAUAUAUCAUUAUUAUGAAGAGUUAUGGAAAGUUUCAUGAAAAUCCAAGAUUAUCAGUAUGCCACCUUCUGCAUGAUUCUUACGUGGACUGCUACU